CUUUCUUCCUGCCACUCCUGUUGUUGCUUCACACCAGCUCUCUGACAGGCCAGCUGUGACAGGAAGUUCAGCUCAGGUGUCAGCAGUGGUUCUUGAAUCCACUUCCACUGAUUCAGAUGUCAAGAAGUAGUAAGGGAACUGACCCUAACAUGGGGGAGAUCAGGUAGGGAUCCAGGCCCAUUAUUAACAUCUCCAAACUCCAAUAAGCCAUGAUGAACUCAUUUAGUCUCCUCACCCCUCUUCCCUAGUUUUGGGACCAAAGUGUUUCUGUUGUUAUUGUUUCAUUUUGUUUUUUUUUCUCACAGAUCCAACAGCUAUCAAUCAAACAGCUAGCAUCUCACUGACAUUUUGUUGAUCUCGGGCAAUGACAGCUGCCACUGUCUUGGACACCUUCACUUGUUUGGACCAAUCACAGUUUUUCAUCUUGUUUGCUGAAGGCAGAGGUAUUCUCAUAAUCUGAAGAUCUUCUUUAAAGAAACCUGCAUAAAUCUCUCCUAUGGUACAAUAAGGAUGGAAGAAAUGACUUUUCUUUAGAAAAGAAGCUUCCAUAGAGUCUUGUAUCCUGUACAACCUUGAAGAUAUGGAGGUUUCACUUUAAUCACAAAAUAAGGAAAAAGGAGCCCUACUAUAGCUGAGGAACAGCCUGUGAUUUAUGAAGGCACUAGGAGAAUAUUGGCUCUUCUGAAAUACACUUCCUCCAAUGAACUGCUUGUACCGUUGAUCCCAUUGUGAUACCUGCUUAGAACAAGCAACCACCACAAUUGUGUAUAUCUUCAACAAA